UCCACUGGACUUAACUGGCACUUGUAUCUUUAUUUCUCCAUUGGAAGAAGUGAGGCACUGUGGAAUUAACAUAGUUUGGCUCCACUUUCACUGCCACGGCUCAAUGCUAUGGAAUCCUGGGAGUUAUAGUUCGGUGAGGCAUCUAAACUAUUUGGCAGAGAAGGUUUAAAGACCUUAUAAAACUACAAUUCCCAGGGUUUCAUAGCAUUGAGCCAUGGCAAUGAAAUUGGAGUCAAACUGCAUUAAUUCCAAAGUGCAGCUGCCCUUUGGUGAGAUAUAUGCAUCCCUCUGAAGUACACCACUACAAUAUACACUACAAUAUACUCUUAGGCCCUUUCUGUAUUGCCAUAUAAAAUGCAGGUUAUCUGCUUUGAACUGGAUUAUAUGGCAGUGUAGACUCAGAUAACCCAGUUCAAGGCAGAUAAUGUGGAUUAUCUGCGUUGAUAAUCUGAAUUAUAUGGUUAUGUAGAAGAACCCAUACCCUGCCAUAUAAGAUCCAGACUAUCUGCUUUGAACUGGAUUAUAUGGCUGUGUAGAUGCAUAUAAUCCGGUUCAGUGCAUAUGACCUGGAUUAUCUGCCUUCAUAAUCUCAAUUAUAUGGUUAUGUAGAAGAACCCAUACCCUGCCAUAUAAAAUCCAGACUAUCUGUGUUAUGAUUGAGCCUCAUGGCUCUGCUUCUGGCAGACGUGGACGUAAGACUCCUCGAGAGUCAGAUACUCUCGAGGAGCGAGAAAGAAAGAGGCUGCGAGAUAUCUUUGCAGAACCAUCUGACGAAGAGUCUUUUCAGGGGUUCACGGAGAGAAUGGAGGAAGAGCUGGUUAGCUCGGAAGAGGAUGAGAUGGAUUGGACUCGGCUUUGACCUUCCGUCGUCUUCUUGACGGACGCCAUCUGCUACUCUGGAUUUACGGACUGGAAACUGACUACGGGCUCGCUUUCUCCUAUUGAACUUGGAAAACUGCAAACGUCUGAUUCUGCCUCUCGACCUACGGAACGAACUGGGACUACGCUACUGCUUCAAUCCUUGGCUGCUGAGUUUGUAUUGGAAAUUUGCCUUGCUGUGUGAAGGAGUGACUCUUAGUUACUCAAAACAUAGUGCUGGCAGCAGAGAGGCAUCUGCUGCCAAUUAGUUGCAUUCUUUUGAACUCUUUGUUUCCCAGCUUCUGUUUGUUUAUCCCCAGGCUGAAGCAAGCUGUUUUGUUUUUACCCGGAUUAAACUCCGGUUUAAUCCGGUUUAUCUUUUGAACGUUUUUCUUGCCCCUUUUUGCUUUUAAAGGCUAAAUUUGCCUUGCCCUUGUCUUUUACGGGCAUUUUGAGUUCUGUAAAUCCAAUAAACUCUGUUAUCUUUGA